GACAGAGGGUGCAAACGUUGUUCGGAAUUACUGGGCGUAAAGCGCGUGUAGGCGGCUUGGCAAGUCGGGUGUGAAAGCCCUGGGCUCAACCUAGGAAGUGCACUCGAAACUGCUUCGCUUGAGUACCGGAGAGGAAAGCGGAAUUCCCGGUGUAGUGGUGAAAUGCGUAGAUAUCGGGAGGAACACCAGUGGCGAAGGCGGCUUCCUGGCCUGUUCUUGACGCUGAGGCGCGAAAGCGUGGGGAGCGAACAGG
rnacentral:rRNA from 1 species